AGGUUGAAGGUUGGGUAACACUAACUGGAGGACCGAACCGACUAAUGUUGAAAAAUUAGCGGAUGACUUGUGGCUGGGGGUGAAAGGCCAAUCAAACCGGGAGAUAGCUGGUUCUCCCCGAAAGCUAUUUAGGUAGCGCCUCGUGAACUCAUCUUCGGGGGUAGAGCACUGUUUCGGCUAGGGGGUCAUCCCGACUUACCAACCCGAUGCAAACUGCGAAUACCGAAGAAUGUUAUCACGGGAGACACACGGCGGGUGCUAACGUCCGUCGUGAAGAGGGAAACAACCCAGACCGCCAGCUAAGGUCCCAAAGUCACAGUUAAGUGGGAAACGAUGUGGGAAGGCUCAGACAGCCAGGAUGUUGGCUUAGAAGCAGCCAUCAUUUAAAGAAAGCGUAAUAGCUCACUGGUCGAGUCGGCCUGCGCGGAAGAUGUAACGGGGCUAAACUGUGCACCGAAGCUGCGGCAGCGACGCUUAUGCGUUGUUGGGUAGGGGAGCGUUCUGUAAGCCUGCGAAGGUGUCCUGUGAGGGAUGCUGGAGGUAUCAGAAGUGCGAAUGCUGACAUAAGUAACGAUAAUGCGGGUGAAAAGCCCGCUCGCCGGAAGACCAAGGGUUCCUGUCCAACGUUAAUCGGGGCAGGGUGAGUCGACCCCUAAGGCGAGGCCGAAAGGCGUAGUCGAUGGGAAACGGGUUAAUAUUCCCGUACUUGGUGUUACUGCGAAGGGGGGACGGAGAAGGCUAUGUUGGCCGGGCGACGGUUGUCCCGGUUUAAGCGUGUAGGCUGGUUUUCCAGGCAAAUCC
rnacentral:rRNA from 1 species